AGAGCGAACGCUGGCGGCAGGCUUAACACAUGCAAGUCGAGCGGGCGUAGCAAUACGUCAGCGGCAGACGGGUGAGUAACGCGUGGGAACAUACCUUUUGGUUCGGAACAACCCAGGGAAACUUGGGCUAAUACCGGAUAAGCCCUUACGGGGAAAGAUUUAUCGCCGAAAGAUUGGCCCGCGUCUGAUUAGCUAGUUGGUGAGGUAACGGCUCACCAAGGCGACGAUCAGUAGCUGGUCUGAGAGGAUGAUCAGCCAUAUUGGGACUGAGACACGGCCCAAACUCCUACGGGAGGCAGCAGUGGGGAAUAUUGGACAAUGGGCGCAAGCCUGAUCCAGCCAUGCCGCGUGAGUGAUGAAGGCCCUAGGGUUGUAAAGCUCUUUUGUGCGGGAAGAUAAUGACGGUACCGCAAGAAUAAGCCCCGGCUAACUUCGCGCCAGCAGCCGC
rnacentral:rRNA from 1 species